CCUACGGGUGGCAGCAGUGGGGAAUAUUGCACAAUGGGGGAAACCCUGAUGCAGCGACGCCGCGUGAGUGAAGAAGUAAUUCGGUAUGUAAAGCUCUAUCAGCAGGGAAGAAAAGGACGGUACCUGAGUAAGAAGCACCGGCUAACUACGUGCAAGCAGCCGCGGUAAUACGGAGGGGGCAAGCGUUAUCCGGAUUUACUGGGUGUAAAGGGAGCGUAGACGGCAGUGCAAGUCUGGAGUGAAAGCCGGGGGCUCAACCCCCGGACUGCUCUGGAAACUGUACGGCGGGAGUGCAGGAGAGGUAAGUGGAAUGCCUGGUGUAGCGGUGAAAUGCGUAGAUAUUAGGAGGAACACCAGUGGCGAAGGCGGCUUACUGGACCGUAACUGACGUUGAGGCUCGAAAGCGUGGGUAUCAAACAGGAUUAGAUACCCGAGUAGUC
rnacentral:rRNA from 1 species